rnacentral:rRNA from 1 species
UGGUGGAGUGAUUUGUCUGGUUAAUUCCGUUAACGAACGAGACCUCGACCUGCUAAAUAGUUCGGUGAAGGCGUCAGCCUUCAUACGUGACUUCUUAGAGGGACUAUCGGUGCUUUAGCCGAAGGAAGUUCGAGGCAAUAACA